UUUUCUAAAAUUUUGUUUGUCUUUUGCUUUUUGAACAUGCAUAGAAUCCUCUAAAGAAUUGGGAAAAUACAGACCAAUCUUAGACUUCUUAGUGACAUUCUAUCUGGUUGUAAACAGGGGCACCUUCUGUGAUUUGAGGCUUCAUCUCAUCAUCAAUAAUGCCAGGUUUGCUCUUUUAAGUCACUAGAUAAAACUCAAGAUUUCUGCACCCAUAUUCACUCUACAACCAUCAUUACUGUCUGACUGCUGCACCCUUUGUGUAUUCCAGAUCAUAUAAAUGAUGGGCCACAUUCAAAUAUUGCAUCAAUUGCAAACGUAGAUAUAACAUUUACACACCAAUUCAUGCAUUAAUUUUGAAUUCUUUCCUCUCUAGCUUUUCUUAAUAUACUGAUGAAGGCAUUGCCUUCUUUUAUUGUGAUUGGUUCAUAUUUAAAGAUCCUUCUGGUGUUGUUGUUACAACCCAGGCUGAAAAUGUAAAGAUUCUUCUUUUGUGGGUCACAGAUAUCUGAUGUGGUUGAUGAGGAAGUCUGCAAGCUGGAUGAAAAGUUCAAGGAAGGGAGUCAUGUUCGAGUUCGUGUUCUUGGCUUUAGGCAUCUAUAAGUAUUGACAAUGGAUGUUUUAAAGGUGACACUAGCACACUUCCUCUUCUCUGCCAUUAUUAUAUUAUGUCAAGCUCACCAAAGAUCGAUAGAAGAAACUAGUCCCUUGGAAACAAUGGCAAUCAUUGACAACAAGGAGAUCAUUGACAUUAACCAAGGUAUGCUAGUUGAUUAGACUGGUGCUAAAAAAAAAAAA